AUGUGGUCUAUCGCAAGGCACAAGGAAACCUGUCAGUCGAACAAGGAGAACCGUUCCAAAGUUAAGUUCCAUCAGAAAACUGGUUCUCGCCCCUACAUUUCCCAUGUGCAUGCUUUGAAAGAGGCUCGUAAGCAUGAAGAGUUGACUGCGUUUGAUCUAUUCAAGGAGUGCCACAAUGGCAAGAAGACUCGUUUCUCUGAGCCAGUUAAGAAGGCGAUAGCUGACAUGGAAAAAGCUAUGGAACAAGGGGUACCAGAAGGUGGAGAACCAAAGAAUGUUGCUGCUGUUGUUGCUGACGUUCUCACUAAAGAAUGUCCCUCCAGCACAUUCCUUCAAAAUGUUGGCCUUGAGUCGAGCUCCAAGAAGAAGUUCAACAAAUCUGUAGCUGCUUUGGAUGCUCAUGUACAAGAACUAGAGUACAGGCUUGAGAAGGAGAGGCGAGUCGCUAAGCUGAUGCGAGAGGAGCUUGUUGAGGUCAAGAAGAAAUCAGAGGAGACCGAAGCUGCACGCGCCGUAGAGUACCAGUUGUUACUGCAGAGAGUUGAGGCCACCGAUGCUAGAUUUGCGCGUCUCAUGGAUCUAUUCGAAGGUAAAAUAGUUUAG
rnacentral:rRNA from 1 species